CACAGUCCUUCGUGAAACAUUGGGCACUUGAAUUUCUAGACUUGAAUUAGCGGAUUUUUUUGAAAGCACUCAGGUGUCAUACGAAAUUGAAUGAGUAAAUUAUUGAAAGGUUUUGGAAGUCUUUUGGUUUUAAUAAGAAGAUCUCUCGCAGCCACAAAGUUUAAUUCGCUUUCUUUCAAAAAUUCAUCAAUUAGUUGACUUAACAGAACCCAAAAAGUGGGUGUCCAGUUGGUGUAAUCUCUACUGAAUACAAAGUCUUUAUAUGAA